CCUACGGGGGGCAGCAGUAAGGAAUAUUGCGCAAUGGGCGAAAGCCUGACGCAGCGACGCCGCGUGAGUGAUGAAGGCCUUAGGGUUGUAAAGCUCUUUUACCCGGGAUGAUAAUGACAGUACCGGGAGAAUAAGCUCCGGCUAACUCCGUGCCAGCAGCCGCGGUAAUACGGAGGGAGCUAGCGUUGUUCGGAAAUACUGGGCGUAAAGCGCACGUAGGCGGCGCAGCAAGUCAGGAGUGAAAUCCCGGGGCUCAACCCCGGAACUGCCCUUGAAACUGCAGUGCUAGAAUCUUGGAGAGGCGAGUGGAAUUCCGAGUGUAGAGGUGAAAUUCGUAGAUAUUCGGAAGAACACCAGUGGCGAAGGCGACUCGCUGGACAAGUAUUGACGCUGAGGUGCGAAAGCGUGGGGAGCAAACAGGAUUAGAUACCCUCGUAGUC
rnacentral:rRNA from 1 species